rnacentral:rRNA from 1 species
UACGGAGGGGACUAGCGUUGUUCGGAAUUACUGGGCGUAAAGCGCACGUAGGCGGAUUGUUUUAGUCAGGGGUGAAAUCCCGAGGCUCAACCUCGGAACUGCCUUUGAUACUGGCAAUCUCGAGUCCGGAAGAGGUGAGUGGAAUUCCUAGUGUAGAGGUGAAAAUUCGUAGAUAUUAGGAAGAACACCAGUGGCGAAGGCGGCUCACUGGUCCGGUACUGACGCUGAGGUGCGAAAGCGUGGGGAGCAAACAGGG